GCACCCAUAGCUCAAUUGGAUAGAGCAUCGGUCUACGAAACCGAAGGUUACAAGUUCGAGUCUUGUUGGGUGUA
rnacentral:tRNA from 1 species